rfam:Paenibacillus sp. D9 Scaffold1, whole genome shotgun sequence.
CCGUGCUAGAUGGGGAGGUAGCGGUGCCCUGUAACUCGCAAUCCGCUAUAGCGAGGUUGAAUUCCUGCCGUAGGUUAUGCGUUGCAGUGUAUGGCGCCUAGGAACAGCGUUGAAGGAUGGGUCCUCCGCAAUGGACACUUGUGAACCCGGUCAGGUCCGGAAGGAAGCAGCCGUAAGCAGGCGCGUUCAUGUGCCGGAGGAGUGCCUGACCCGAGCUGGAAUCAGGAAUGCCUGCUGGACCGCAUGGAUCGAGGGCAGGUGCACGG